GGCCCCGUAGCUCAGUUGGAUAGAGCGAUUGAUUCCUAAUCAAUAGGUCAUGGGUUCGAAUCCCUUCGGGGUCACCA
rnacentral:tRNA from 2 species